UCGAUGAAGAACGCAGCAAACUUCAGGACACAUGAAGAUCGACAUUUUAAGUGCAUAUCGCAGCCAACUCUGGUAAAAGAAAUGGGACAACCGGAAAACAAAAUAGCGCAGUAAGUAGAGUGUGAUGUGUGGAAAAGAAGUGGCGUGGUACAAUGACUUAAAGCCAAAAAGGCU
rnacentral:rRNA from 1 species